AGAGUUUGAUCAUGGCUCAGAGUGAACGCUGGCGGUAGGCCUAACACAUGCAAGUCGAACGGCAGCACAGGAGAGCUUGCUCUCUGGGUGGCGAGUGGCGGACGGGUGAGGAAUACAUCGGAAUCUACCUUUUCGUGGGGGAUAACGUAGGGAAACUUACGCUAAUACCGCAUACGACCUACGGGUGAAAGUGGGGGACCGCAAGGCCUCACGCGAUUAGAUGAGCCGAUGUCCGAUUAGCUAGUUGGCGGGGUAAUGGCCCACCAAGGCGACGAUCGGUAGCUGGUCUGAGAGGAUGAUCAGCCACACUGGAACUGAGACACGGUCCAGACUCCUACGGGAGGCAGCAGUGGGGAAUAUUGGACAAUGGGCGCAAGCCUGAUCCAGCCAUACCGCGUGGGUGAAGAAGGCCUUCGGGUUGUAAAGCCCUUUUGUUGGGAAAGAAAUCCUGUCGGUUAAUAACCGGUGGGGAUGACGGUACCCAAAGAAUAAGCACCGGCUAACUUCGUGCCAGCAGCCGCGGUAAUAC
rnacentral:rRNA from 1 species